UACGGGGGGGGCAAGCGUUGUUCGGAAUUACUGGGCGUAAAGGGCGCGUAGGCGGCCUUCUAAGUCGGACGUGAAAUCCCUCGGCUCAACCGAGGAACUGCGUCCGAUACUGAAAGGCUUGAAUCCGGGAGAGGGAUGUGGAAUUCCAGGUGUAGCGGUGAAAUGCGUAGAUAUCUGGAGGAACACCGGUGGCGAAGGCGGCAUCCUGGACCGGCAUUGACGCUGAGGCGCGAAAGCAUGGGGAGCGAACAGG
rnacentral:rRNA from 1 species